CGAAGGGUGCAAGCGUUACUCGGAAUUACUGGGCGUAAAGCGUGCGUAGGUGGUGAGUUAAGUCUGUCGUGAAAGCCCCGGGCUCAACCUGGGAAUGGCGAUGGAUACUGGCUCGCUAGAGUGCGGUAGAGGAGAGUGGAAUUCCCGGUGCAGCAGUGAAAUGCGUAGAGAUCGGGAGGAACAUCAGUUGCGAAGGCGGCUCUCUGGACCAGCACUGACACUGAGGCACGAAAGCGUGGGGAGCAAACAGGAUUAGAUACCCUGGUAGUCCACGCCCUAAACGAUGCGAACUGGACGUUGGGAGCAAUCAGGCUCUCAGUGUCGAAGCUAACGCGUUAAGUUCGCCGCCUGGGGAGUACGGUCGCAAGACUG
rnacentral:rRNA from 1 species